GUCUAUAUAAAAGAGACUUCAGAUACAGUAUUAGGGGACCACUAAGGUCUAUAUAAAGAGACUUCAGAUACAGUAUUAGGGACCACUAAGGUCUAUAUAAAAGAGACUUCAGAUACAGUAUUAGGGACCACUAAGGUCUAUAUAAAAGAGACUUCAGAUACAGUAUUAGGGGACCACUAAGGUCUAUAUAAAACCAUCCAAAGAGACCAUGUCAUGGGACCUUUAACCCUGCCGUCUGUAGAUGUCAGCUGACGUUCCCAUUUAUUUCAAAUAGAGUUUAGAGUUUGAGUUUCAAAUUUAAAUGCCACCAAAACAAGCUGUGAAAGACGAUAAAAAGACGGUACCCAGAGACGUAGAAAUACAUUCAGAGCUGCAGACCGACAGGGUCCUGUCCCCCGUCCCCGUCCCCCCCCGCCUGCUUCAGUGAGCGUAGCUCCCCCUGGAUGCCGAACAUGUAAAUAUAAAGGUAUGUUCCCCACGUUGACCGCGCCAUGUGGCAUGGCUGUGCAGCCUGCGUCCAGAGAGAGGAAACGAUAAAGAUUGUCGUCUAUUUUGAUACCAGAGGAGACGUUUAUUUUUGUAGCAAAGACACAGCAGCAGAGACUGAUUUUUCACACACACACACACACACACACAGUCACACACACA